rnacentral:rRNA from 1 species
UACAGAGGGGGCAAGCGUUGUUCGGAAUUACUGGGCGUAAAGGGCUCGUAGGCGGCCAACUAAGUCGGAUGUGAAAUCCCCAGGCUUAACCUGGGAACUGCAUCCGAUACUGGAUGGCUUGAAUCCGGGAGAGGGAUGCAGAAUUCCAGGUGUAGCGGUGAAAUGCGUUGAUAUCGUAAGGAACACCUGUGGCGAAAGCGGCUUACUGGGUCUUUUCUGACGCUGAUGCACGAAAGCCAGGGGAGCAAACGGG